UGCCAGAUUGUCAUUCAUAGUUGUCUUUUUAUCUUUUUUUUUUUUUUAUCUUUUCUGAUACUAUUGAAAAUUUUCAACGUUACAAAUAUAUUUUCUUCCAAGAAGAGAAUAAUGAGUAAGUAGUGAAAAUAUGAUGGUGUGUAUAGAAACCUUCCCCUUCUGAACUUCAGAAACACCAAAAAGAAUAUAGGUGCUACAAAUUGUAAAUUCAUCAUAAAAACAAGCUUGCAUAUAAAAAAUUCAUGUUUAUUUGUUCCAUGUGCCUAGAGAUCAAUGCAAUUUAGAAAUCGUGUUAUUUUGCUAUGCGCUGUGUCUAAAUGUUAUAUAAUAUAAAGAGCAAGCUGCUUGACUCAUUGCUCAGGUGAGGAAUGUGGCCCAUGGGCCUCUUUUUCCGUUUUCCUUGCCUCAAAGAUUACUCUAUGAUGGUACAUUUCCAUACAUUUCAGAGUUAAAACUAUCAAUUUAAGUAAGAUUCUAGUUGUCAUGAAGACAUUUAGUCAUUGCGUCCAUGUUAAUGUCGGCUUCAUUAGAACUAAUGCAGUAUUUUGUACAAAAACCAGUGGUGAGAAGAUGUCUGAUUUGGGAGAAAACUAUAUAUGGUUUUGGUUUUUAAGGUUUUUUUUAGAGGUUAUCUGAAAAUCUUAGAAAAUAAAACUUGACAUUUGU
rnacentral:sRNA from 1 species